ACCGAUAGCGCACAAGUAGAGUGAUCGAAAGAUGAAAAGCACUUUGGAAAGAGAGUCAAACAGCACGUGAAAUUGUUGAAAGGGAAGCGCUUGCAGCCAGACUUGCUUGCAGUUGCUCAUCCGGGCUUUUGCCCGGUGCACUCUUCUGUAGGCAGGCCAGCAUCAGUUUGGGCGGUGGGAUAAAGGUCUCUGUCAUGUACCUCUCUUCGGGGAGGCCUUAUAGGGGAGGCGACAUACCACCAGCCUGGACUGAGGUCCGCGCAUCUGCUAGGAUGCUGGCGUAAUGGCUGUAAGCGGCCCGUCUUGAAACACGGACCAAGGAGUCUAACAUCUAUGCGAGUGUUUGGGUGUCAAGCCCGAGCGCGUAAUGAAAGUGAACGGAGGUGGGAACCCGUAAGGGUGCACCAUCGACCGAUCCUGAUGUCUUCGGAAGGAUUUGAGUAAGAGCAUGGCUGUUGGGACCCGAAAGAUGGUGAACUAUGCUUGAAUAGGGUGAAGCCAGAGGAAACUCUGGUGGAGGCUCGCAGCGGUUCUGACGUGCAAAUCGAUCGUCAAAUUUGGGCAUAGGGGCGAAAGACUAAUCGA
rnacentral:misc_RNA from 1 species